CCUACGGGGGGCUGCAGUGGGGAAUAUUGCACAAUGGGCGCAUGCCUGAUGCAGCCAUGCCGCGUGUGUGAAGAAGGCCUUCGGGUUGUAAAGCACUUUCAGCGGGGAGGAAGGCGGUGAGGUUAAUAACCUCAUCGAUUGACGUUACCCGCAGAAGAAGCGCCGGCUAACUCCGUGCCAGCAGCCGCGGUAAUACGGAGGGUGCAAGCGUUAAUCGGAAUUACUGGGCGUAAAGCGCACGCAGGCGGUCUGUCAAGUCGGAUGUGAAAUCCCCGGGCUCAACCUGGGAACUGCAUUCGAAACUGGCAGGCUAGAGUCUUGUAGAGGGGGGUAGAAUUCCAGGUGUAGCGGUGAAAUGCGUAGAGAUCUGGAGGAAUACCGGUGGCGAAGGCGGCCCCCUGGACAAAGACUGACGCUCAGGUGCAAAAGCGUGGGGAGCAAACAGGAUUAGAUACCCUUGUAGUC
rnacentral:rRNA from 1 species